GAUGAACGCUGGCGGCGUGCUUAACACAUGCAAGUCGAACGAUGAAGCCUAGUUUGCUGGGUGGAUUAGUGGUGAACGGGUGAGUAACACGUGAGUAACACGCCCUUAAUCUUGGCCUAAGUUUGGGAAAAUGGUUGUAAUACCGGACUGGUGCGUGCAACGCCUGGAGGGUGUUGGCUGGGUUUAUCGGUUUUGGUUGCAGUCGUGGCCUUUAAGCUUGUUGGUGAAGUCAUGGUUCAGCAAGGCGACGACAGGUAGGCGGCCUGAGGGUGGGACCUGCGACACGGCGACGGAGACUCGGCGCGGACGCCUACGGGAGGCAUGAGUAAGGAGUGGUGCACUAAGGGCGCAAGCCUGAUGCAGCGACGCCGGGUGAGGGAUGACGGCCUUCUGGUUGUAAACCUCAUGCAGUAGGGAAGAAGCGAUAGUGACGGUACCUGCAGAAGAAGCACCGGCUAACUACGUG
rnacentral:rRNA from 1 species